rnacentral:rRNA from 1 species
UACGAAGGGGGCUAGCGUUGUUCGGAAUUACUGGGCGUAAAGGGCGCGUAGGCGGCCCUCCAAGUCAGAUGUGAAAGCCCCGGGCUUAAACCUGGGAAUAGCAUUUGAGACUGAAGGGCUUGAGUUUCGGAGAGGUGGGUGGAAUUCCCAGUGUAGAGGUGAAAUUCGUAGAUAUUGGGAAGAACACCGGUGGCGAAGGCGGCCCACUGGACGAACACUGACGCUGAGGCGCGAAAGCGUGGGGAGCAAACAGG